rnacentral:rRNA from 1 species
AUUGAACGCUGGCGGCAGGCUUAACACAUGCAAGUCGAACGGGUGGCGGACGUGUGAGUAAUGCUUGGGCCUCUAGCUUAUGGAGGGGGUUACCUACGGGAACCUGUAGCUACUACCGCUUACCUUAGGCUGGGCCCAAGUGGGAUUAGGUAGUUGGUGGGGUAAAGGCUCACCAAGCCGACGAUCCCUAGCUGGUCUGAGAGGAUGACCAGCCACACUGGGACUGAGACACGGCCCAGACUCCUACGGGAGGCAGCAGUGGGGAAUAUUGCGCAAUGGGGGCAACCUGACGCAGCCAUGCCGCGUGAAUGAAGAAGGCCUUCGGGUUGUAAAGUUCUUUCGGUAGCGAGGCGUUAACUACAGAAGAAGCACCGGCUAACUCCGUGCCAGCAGCCGCGGUAAUAC